rnacentral:rRNA from 1 species
GUGUCAGCCGCCGCGGUAAUACGUAGGAGACGAGCGUUAUCCGGAUUUACUGGGCGUAAAGAGGGCGUAGGCGGUCUUUCAAGUCGGAUGUGAAAUCUCCCGGCUUAACUGGGAGGGGUCAUUCGAUACUGUUGGGCUAGAGGGCAGCAGAGGGAGGUGGAAUUCCCGGUGUAGUGGUGAAAUGCGUAGAUAUCGGGAGGAACACCAGUGGCGAAGGCGGCCUCCUGGGCUGUUUCUGACGCUGAGGCCCAAAAGCGUGGGGAGCGAACAGGAUUAGAUACCCUGGUAGUCCACGCUGUAAACUAUGGACACUAGGUAUGGGGAGUAUCGACCCUCUCCGUGCCGAAGCUAACGCUUUAAGUGUCCCGCCUGGGGACUACGGCCGCAAGGCUAAAACUUAAAGGAAUUGACGGAG